rnacentral:rRNA from 1 species
AUGAACGCUGGCGGCGUGCCUAAUACAUGCAAGUCGAGCGAACAGACGAGGAGCUUGCUCCUCUGACGUUAGCGGCGGACGGGUGAGUAACACGUGGAUAACUUACCUAUAAGACUGGGAUAACUUCGGGAAACCGGAGCUAAUACCGGAUAAUAUAUUGAACCGCAUGGUUCAAUAGUGAAAGACGGUUUUGCUGUCACUUAUAGAUGGAUCCGCGCCGCAUUAGCUAGUUGGUAAGGUAACGGCUUACCAAGGCAACGAUGCGUAGCCGACCUGAGAGGGUGAUCGGCCACACUGGAACUGAGACACGGUCCAGACUCCUACGGGAGGCAGCAGUAGGGAAUCUUCCGCAAUGGGCGAAAGCCUGACGGAGCAACGCCGCGUGAGUGAUGAAGGUCUUCGGAUCGUAAAACUCUGUUAUUAGGGAAGAACAAAUGUGUAAGUAACUAUGCACGUCUUGACGGUACCUAAUCAGAAAGCCACGGCUAACUACGUG